rnacentral:rRNA from 1 species
GACGAGCCACACAAACGUUAUUCGGAAUUACUGGGCUUAAAGGGUGCGUAGGCUGCGCGGAAAGUUGGGUGUGAAAUCCCUCGGCUCAACCGAGGAACUGCGCCCAAAACUGCCGUGCUCGAGGAAGAUAGAGGUAAGCGGAACUUACGGUGGAGCGGUGAAAUGCGUUGAUAUCGUAAGGAACACCUGUGGCGAAGGCGGAUCUCUGGGCCAUUACUGACGCUGAGGAGCGAAAGCGUGGGGAGCGAACAGG